GACGAACGCUGGCGGCAUGCCUAACACAUGCAAGUCGAACGGAGAUUAUUUCGGUAAUCUUAGUGGCGAACGGGUGAGUAACGCGUGGGCAACCUGCCCUCUAGAUGGGGACAACAUCCCGAAAGGGGUGCUAAUACCGAAUGUGACAGCAAUCUCGCAUGAGGAUGCUGUGAAAGAUGGCCUCUAUUUAUAAGCUAUCGCUAGAGGAUGGGCCUGCGUCUGAUUAGCUAGUUGGUGGGGUAACGGCCUACCAAGGCGAUGAUCAGUAGCCGGUCUGAGAGGAGGAACGGCCACAUUGGGACUGAGACACGGCCCAGACUCCUACGGGAGGCAGCAGUGGGGAAUCUUCCGCAAUGGGCGAAAGCCUGACGGAGCAAUGCCGCGUGAGUGAUGAAGGAAUUCGUUCCGUAAAGCUCUUUUGUUUAUGACGAAUGUGCAGAUUGUGAACAAUGAUCUGUAAUGACGGUAGUAAACGAAUAAGCCACGGCUAACUACGUG
rnacentral:rRNA from 1 species